GCCACGUGUCACGUUUUCCUUUUUUCUCUUUUACUAAAACUUUUUUCUUUUUCCUCUGAAGUUCCCGCUCUAUUUUCAGUCCAAUUCCUUUUGUUGUUUUAAAACCAUUUCAAAAACUUGACAUUAAAAAGAACUCUGCAAAAGUCAUAUCAAUUGGAAAGAGAAAUGUUAAAAAAUAAUAUUUGUUUCCUUUUCCAACACUCAUUUGCAGAACAAAAACGCACCUUCUCUCCUCUGUUUUUAAAAUUUCAGAUUCAACUCAAAAUCAUCUUCUUCUCUCCACCUUUAAUUUUUUCGUCUCUUCUCUUCCUAAAGCAGUGUUUCUUCUUCUCCUCAAACCAUUUGCUCAGUUUUUAUUUUAUUUUAUUUUUUUCCCUUCUCUUCCUGAGCUCUAUUGGUUAAACUUAACCGAGUGUUUCAUCUUCCCCCAAAACCAUCAUCAAAUGCUUUCACACAUCAAAUUAGUUUGAAAAUAUGCUUCUCUCUUCCUUCUCCCUAAACUCUGUCAUGCUGAAUCUUCUCUGUCGCACGAUCUCUUUUUUCUUCCCCUUUCCGGUUACUAUAUUGUUACUGAUGUUUACUCUGCUUAUUUUGCUUAAUGUCGUUUUCCUUUACUUGCAGGAGGGACAAUUUCUUAGAGGUAUUUUUAUUUCUAAAUUUCAACUUGUCUUAGGUAAUGCACAGUAUCAAUUGAACUCUUUUUGUCAGAUGUUGGAUUGGUAUGACUCAUUGCAGGCAGAGAACUGUUCAAAAAAUAUGGAAGACUGUGAUAUAUGGCAAGUCCUUGCAGGUAUUGAUCUUGCUGGUCAGAUUGCUUUGGUUCUAAUAGCUGUGUUUUUUCUUAGCAGUUUUUAGUGUCAAAAUUUGGCAGCACAGAUUUAUUCCAAAAAAAGAAGUGAUGAAAAACCUAAUGUUCCUUCAUGUAUCUAAUUCAUUGCUUGAAAACCUCUGGCUACCUGCUUCUUGCUAGAUCAUCCUCACGCACUAUAGUAGGUAAGCAAGUUCAAGACGCUACUUGGAAUCUACUUGGAAUCUACAAUUAUAUCUCUUUUUUCCGCAAUCAGUUAUCUUUGUUUGUUUUUAUUUCUUUUUGUUCCUUAACCUGAAUUUGUUUCACUUGCUAAAGCAUGAUGAAAAAUGAGGUUCCAUUUCUUUCUAAUUUCUCUCUUUAUUAGUUCAGUUUGUUCACUCUAUUUUCACUACGAUUUAAGGUUUGAUUCUUUUUCCUAAGCCUAUAAAUUAGUAUUUUUUAGCUUUUGUUUAUGAUUAUUGCUGGACCAGUUUUAUAUCAAUGUGCUACUUUGGUCCAAAAGGAACAAUUGUUACGAACUGCUAUUUUGGUAAUUAGGACUUGAUUUUUUGUGUUGUCAUGACUAACCUCAUGUAGUUUCUAAUGUUCUCUCUAAUUGGAUAAGUACCUUAUUGACUGAUAAUUGCUUAGUGAUAUAUGCAACUUAAUUGGAUGCUGCAUUUUUGAGAUUUUGAAGCCUUCAUCUUUGAGCUUAUUUGUGUUAUAUUAAUGGAUAAUGCUUUACUCUUGCUCUCACUGUUUUGAAAGAGCCAUGGGAAGUACCAUCUGAAUGCUUGCUUUUUGAAAGAGUCAUGGGAAGUACCAUCUGGCUUGCUUCUGAAAUCUGGAAUGCCAUGUUGGUUGUACUAAUCUUUCUAAUUCCUCAAUUAUUCAGGCCUCUUAGUUUGCUUAUUAAAAACAAAUUCAGGCCUCUUAGUGAAAACUUAUUGUCUUAUGCUCUACGAAUUUUACAGGGGCCGGCUUCACUGCUUCAUUUUUUUUAUCUUCUCCAUAGACUACAUGGAAAGAAGGAGAGCAUGUGGAACAAGAUUGUUAGGCAUGAUGAUGAAGAUAAUGGUCUGUUAUGGUAGAGCUAUUAAUAGGAGUAGAUGGUUCUUCAAGUACAACAUUGAUUUAUGGAAAAUAUUGGCUCACUCCAAAGAAUGCUUUCUAUUUGGUCAUUAUUAGUAUAUACUUAUAAUUGGAUUUCUCAUGUUUGUUCUUAGUUGUCGCUAUAAUUUAUAUUAAUCUUACAAUUUCAUUUUUUA